rnacentral:rRNA from 1 species
AGAGUUUGAUCCUGGCUCAGGACGAACGCUGGCGGCGUGCCUAAUACAUGCAAGUCGAGCGAGCGGAACCGACAGAUUUACUUCGGUAAUGACGUUGGGAAAGCGAGCGGCGGAUGGGUGAGUAACACGUGGGUAACCUGCCCAAGAGACUGGGAUAACAUUUGGAAACAGAUGCUAAUACCGGAUAAGAAAGCAGAUCGCAUGAUCAGCUUAUAAAAGACGGAUUUCUGUCACUCUCGGAUGGACCUGCGGUGCAUUAGCUAGUUGGUAAGGUAACGGCUUACCAAGGCGACGAUGCAUAGCCGAGUUGAGAGACUGAUCGGCCACAUUGGGACUGAGACACGGCCCAAACUCCUACGGGAGGCAGCAGUAGGGAAUCUUCCACAAUGGACGCAAGUCUGAUGGAGCAACGCCGCGUGAGUGAAGAAGGUUUUCGGAUCGUAAAGCUCUGUUAUUGGUGAAGAAAGAUAGAGGUAGUAACUGGCCUUUAUUUGACGGUAAUCAACCAGAAAGUCACGGCUAACUACGUGCCAGCAGCCGCGGUAAUAUGUAGGUGGCAAGCGUUGUCCGGAUUUAUU